GCGACUUAGCCAAGUGGUAAGGCACGGGACUGCAACUCCCUGAGCAUCGGUUCAAAUCCGGUAGUCGC
rnacentral:tRNA from 1 species